rnacentral:rRNA from 1 species
UACAGAGGGUGCAAACGUUGUUCGGAUUUACUGGCGUAAAGCGCGUGUAGGCGGCUGUGCAAGUCGGAUGUGAAAGCCCGGGCUCAACCCGGGAAGUGCAUUCGAUACUGCGCAGCUAGAGUCCCGGAGAGGAUGGUGGAAUUCCGAGUGUAGAGGUGAAAUUCGUAGAUAUUCGGAAGAACACCAGUGGCGAAGGCGACUUACUGGACGAUUGUUGACGCUGAGGUGCGAAAGCGUGGGAGCAACAGG